AUUGAACGCUGGCGGCAUGCCUUACACAUGCAAGUCGAACGGCAGCACGGACUUCGGUCUGGUGGCGAGUGGCGAACGGGUGAGUAAUACAUCGGAACGUGCCCAGUAGUGGGGGAUAACUAUUCGAAAGAGUAGCUAAUACCGCAUACGACCUACGGGUGAAAGUGGGGGAUCGCAAGACCUCAUGCUAUUGGAGCGGCCGAUGUCAGAUUAGCUAGUUGGUGAGGUAAAAGCUCACCAAGGCGACGAUCUGUAGCUGGUCUGAGAGGACGACCAGACACACUGGGACUGAGACACGGCCCAGACUCCUACGGGAGGCAGCAGUGGGGAAUUUUGGACAAUGGGCGCAAGCCUGAUCCAGCAAUGCCGCGUGUGUGAAGAAGGCCUUCGGGUUGUAAAGCACUUUUGUUCGGGAAGAAAAGAUUCGUGCUAAUACCAUGGGUCGACGACGGUACCGGAAGAAUAAGCACCGGCUAACUACGUGCCAGCCGCCGCGGUAA
rnacentral:rRNA from 1 species